AUUGAACGCCGGCGGCAUGCUUUACACAUGCAAGUCGAACGGUAACAGGCCGCAAGGUGCUGACGAGUGGCGAACGGGUGAGUAAUGCAUCGGAACGUGCCCAGUCGUGGGGGAUAACUACUCGAAAGAGUAGCUAAUACCGCAUACGAUCUAUGGAUGAAAGCGGGGGACCGUAAGGCCUCGCGCGAUUGGAGCGGCCGAUGUCAGAUUAGGUAGUUGGUGGGGUAAAGGCUCACCAAGCCAACGAUCUGUAGCUGGUCUGAGAGGACGACCAGCCACACUGGGACUGAGACACGGCCCAGACUCCUACGGGAGGCAGCAGUGGGGAAUUUUGGACAAUGGGCGCAAGCCUGAUCCAGCAAUGCCGCGUGCAGGAAGAAGGCCUUCGGGUUGUAAACUGCUUUUGUACGGAACGAAACGGCUCUGGUUAAUACCCGGGGCUAAUGACGGUACCGUAAGAAUAAGCACCGGCUAACUACGUG
rnacentral:rRNA from 1 species